AACGAACGCUGGCGGCAUGCCUAACGCAUGCAAGUCGAACGAGAUCUUCGGGUCUAGUGGCGCACGGGUGCGUAACGCGUGGGAAUCUGCCCUUUGGUUCGGAAUAACAGUUGGAAACGACUGCUAAUACCGGAUGAUGACGAAAGUCCAAAGAUUUAUCGCCAGAGGAUGAGCCCGCGUAGGAUUAGCUAGUUGGUGUGGUAAGGGCGCACCAAGGCGACGAUCCUUAGCUGGUCUGAGAGGAUGAUCAGCCACACUGGGACUGAGACACGGCCCAGACUCCUACGGGAGGCAGCAGUGGGGAAUAUUGGACAAUGGGCGAAAGCCUGAUCCAGCAAUGCCGCGUGAGUGAUGAAGGCCUUAGGGUUGUAGAGCUCUUUUACCCGGGAUGAUAAUGACAGUACCGGGAGAAUAAGCUCCGGCUAACUCCGUGCCAGCAGCCGCCGUAA
rnacentral:rRNA from 1 species